UACAGAGGUCUCAAGCGUUGUUCGGAUUCAUUGGGCGUAAAGGGUGCGUAGGUGGUGAUGCGAGUCUGGUGUGAAAUCUCGGAGCUCAACUCCGAAAUUGCACCGGAUACUGCGUGACUCGAGGACUGUAGAGGAGAUCGGAAUUCACGGUGUAGCAGUGAAAUGCGUAGAUAUCGUGAGGAAGACCAGUUGCGAAGGCGAAUCUCUGGGCAGUUCCUGACACUGAGGCACGAAGGCCAGGGGAGCAAACGGG
rnacentral:rRNA from 1 species